rnacentral:rRNA from 1 species
GACGUAGGGCGCGAGCGUUGUCCGGAUUUAUUGGGCGUAAAGAGCUCGUAGGCGGCUUGUUGCGUCGACCGUGAAAACCCGGGGCUCAACCCCGGGCCUGCAGUCGAUACGGGCAGACUAGAGUGCGGUAGGGGAGACUGGAAUUCCUGGUGUAGCGGUGAAAUGCGCAGAUAUCAGGAGGAACACCGGUGGCGAAGGCGGGUCUCUGGGCCGUAACUGACGCUGAGGAGCGAAAGCGUGGGGAGCGAACAGG